rnacentral:rRNA from 1 species
UACAGAGGGUGCUAGCGUUGUUCGGAAUCAUUGGGCGUAAAGAGCGUGUAGGCGGCCCGGUAAGUCCGCUGUGAAAGUCCAGGGCUCAACCCUGGGAUGCCGGUGGAUACUGUCGGGCUCGAGUCCGGAAGAGGAGUGUGGAAUUCCGUGGUGUAGCGGUGAAAUGCGCAGAUAUCAGGAGGACACCAAUGGCGAAGGCAGCACUCUGGGACGUGACUGACGCUGAGACGCGAAAGCGUGGGGAGCAAACAGG